GGGGAAUAUUGCACAAUGGGGGAAACCCUGAUGCAGCGACGCCGCGUGAGCGAAGAAGUAUUUCGGUAUGUAAAGCUCUAUCAGCAGGGAAGAAUAUGACGGUACCUGACUAAAAAGCACCGGCUAAAUACGUGCCAGCAGCCGCGGUAAUACGUAUGGUGCAAGCGUUAUCCGGAUUUACUGGGUGUAAAGGGAGCGUAGACGGAUGGGCAAGUCUGAUGUGAAAACCCGGGGCUCAACCCCGGGACUGCAUUGGAAACUGUUCAUCUAGAGUGCUGGAGAGGGAAGUGGAAUUCCUAGUGUAGCGGUGAAAUGCGUAGAUAUUAGGAGGAACACCAGUGGCGAAGGCGGCUUACUGGACAGUAACUGACGUUGAGGCUCGAAAGCGUGGGGAGCAAAC
rnacentral:rRNA from 1 species